GUGAAAUUGUUGAAAGGGAAGCGCUUGCAACCAGACUUGCGUGCAGUUGAUCAUCUGAUGUUCUCACCGGUGCACUCGAUUGCAUUCAGGCCAGCAUUGGUUUUGGUGGUUGGAUAAAGGCCUUGGGAAUGUAGCUUCUUUCGGGGAGUGUUAUAGCCCUCGGUGCAAUGCAGCCCACUAGGACCGAGGACCGCGCUUUGGCUAGGAUGCUGGCGUAAUGGUUGUAAGCGACCCGUCUUGAAACACGGACCAAGGAGUCUAACAUCUAUGCGAGUGUUUGGGUGUAAAACCCAUACGCGUAAUGAAAGUGAACGGAGGUGAGAACCCUUAAGGGUGCAUCAUCGACCGAUCCUGAUGUCUUCGGAUGGAUUUGAGUAAGAGCAUAACUGUUGGGACCCGAAAGAUAGUGAACUAUGCCUGAAUAGGGUGAAGCCAGAGGAAACUCUGGUGGAGGCUCGCAGCGGUUCUGACGUGCAAAUCGAUCGUCAAAUUUGGGUAUAGGGGCGAAAGACUAAUCGAACUAUCUAGUAGCUGGUUCCUGCCGAAGUUUCCCUCAGGAUAGCAGUGUUGAAUUCAGUUUUAUGAGGUAAAGCGAAUGAUUAGAGGCCUUGGGACAGCAACUGUCUUAACCUAUUCUCAAACUUUAAAUAUGUAAGAAGUCCUUGUUACUUAAUUGAACGUGGACAUUCGAAUGUACCAACACUAGUGGGCCAUUUUUGGUAAGCAGAACUGGCGAUGCGGGAUGAACCGAACGUGAAGUUAAGGUGCCGGAAUGUACGCUCAUCAGACACCACAAAAGGUGUUGGUUCAUCUAG
rnacentral:rRNA from 1 species